GCUGGGUGUGGUGGCAUGUGCCUGCAGUCCCAGCUACUCAGGAGGCUGGGGCAGGAGGAUGCCUUCAGCCCAGGAGUCUAAGGCCAGCCUGGGCAACGCAGUGAGACCCCAU
rnacentral:sRNA from 1 species